ACGUUUAGAAAUCACCUCAGGUCGUCGCUGCAAUGGCGAUGGCAUCACUGCUCGCCACGCCGGCAGCGAGCGCGAUACCGGCAGACCAUCUGCCUGGCCUCACACGAGGCCGACGGGACAUUACAGUCAAU
rfam:Pseudomonas rhizosphaerae strain DSM 16299, complete genome.